rnacentral:rRNA from 1 species
UAGUACUACACUGCGUGAGCGGAACGAAAACAACAACACCUAAAAUGUGGAAUAUAGCAUAUAGUCGACAAGAGAAAUCUACGAAAAACAAACAAAACUUUCAACAACGGAUCUCUUGGUUCUCGCAUCGAUGAAGAGCGCAGCGAAAUGCGAUACCUAGUGUGAAUUGCAGCCAUCGUGAAUCAUCGAGUUCUUGAACGCACAUUGCGCCCCUCGGCAUUCCGGGGGGCAUGCCUGUUUGAGCGUCGUUUCCAUCUUGCGCGUGCGCAGAGUUGGGGGAGCGGAGCGGACGACGUGUAAAGAGCGUCGGAGCUGCGACUCGCCUGAAAGGGAGCGAAGCUGGCCGAGCGAACUAGACUUUUUUUCAGGGACGCUUGGCGGCCGAGAGCGAGUGUUGCGAGACAACAAAAAGCUCGACCUCAAAUCAGGUAGGAAUACCCGCUGAACUUAAGCAUAUCAA